AGAGUUUGAUCCUGGCUCAGGAUGAACGCUGGCGGCGUGCCUAAUACAUGCAAGUCGAGCGAACGGACGAGAAGCUUGCUUCUCUGAUGUUAGCGGCGGACGGGUGAGUAACACGUGGAUAACCUACCUAUAAGACUGGGAUAACUUCGGGAAACCGGAGCUAAUACCGGAUAAUAUUUUGAACCGCAUGGUUCAAAAGUGAAAGACGGUCUUGCUGUCACUUAUAGAUGGAUCCGCGCUGCAUUAGCUAGUUGGUAAGGUAACGGCUUACCAAGGCAACGAUGCGUAGCCGACCUGAGAGGGUGAUCGGCCACACUGGAACUGAGACACGGUCCAGACUCCUACGGGAGGCAGCAGUAGGGAAUCUUCCGCAAUGGGCGAAAGCCUGACGGAGCAACGCCGCGUGAGUGAUGAAGGUCUUCGGAUCGUAAAACUCUGUUAUUAGGGAAGAACAUAUGUGUAAGUAACUGUGCACAUCUUGACGGUACCUAAUCAGAAAGCCACGGCUAACUACGUGCCAGCAGCCGCGGUAAUACGUAGGUGGCAAGCGUUAUCCGGAAUUAUUGGGCGUAAAGCGCGCGUAGGCGGUUUUUUAAGUCUGAUGUGAAAGCCCACGGCUCAACCGUGGAGGGUCAUUGGAAACUGGAAAACUUGAGUGCAGAAGAGGAAAGUGGAAUUCCAUGUGUAGCGGUGAAAUGCGCAGAGAUAUGGAGGAACACCAGUGGCGAAGGCGACUUUCUGGUCUGUAACUGACGCUGAUGUGCGAAAGCGUGGGGAUCAAACAGGAUUAGAUACCCUGGUAGUCCACGCCGUAAACGAUGAGUGCUAAGUGUUAGGGGGUUUCCGCCCCUUAGUGCUGCAGCUAACGCAUUAAGCACUCCGCCUGGGGAGUACGACCGCAAGGUUGAAACUCAAAGGAAUUGACGGGGACCCGCACAAGCGGUGGAGCAUGUGGUUUAAUUCGAAGCAACGCGAAGAACCUUACCAAAUCUUGACAUCCUCUGACCCCUCUAGAGAUAGAGUUUUCCCCUUCGGGGGACAGAGUGACAGGUGGUGCAUGGUUGUCGUCAGCUCGUGUCGUGAGAUGUUGGGUUAAGUCCCGCAACGAGCGCAACCCUUAAGCUUAGUUGCCAUCAUUAAGUUGGGCACUCUAAGUUGACUGCCGGUGACAAACCGGAGGAAGGUGGGGAUGACGUCAAAUCAUCAUGCCCCUUAUGAUUUGGGCUACACACGUGCUACAAUGGACAAUACAAAGGGCAGCGAAACCGCGAGGUCAAGCAAAUCCCAUAAAGUUGUUCUCAGUUCGGAUUGUAGUCUGCAACUCGACUACAUGAAGCUGGAAUCGCUAGUAAUCGUAGAUCAGCAUGCUACGGUGAAUACGUUCCCGGGUCUUGUACACACCGCCCGUCACACCACGAGAGUUUGUAACACCCGAAGCCGGUGGAGUAACCAUUUGGAGCUAGCCGUCGAAGGUGGGACAAAUGAUUGGGGUGAAGUCGUAACAAGGUAGCCGUAUCGGAAGGUGCGGCUG
rnacentral:rRNA from 1 species